rnacentral:rRNA from 1 species
GACGGAGGAGGCGAGCGUUAUCCGGAGUCAUUGGGCUUAAAGGGUACGUAGGCGGCUGGUUAAGUCUGUGGUGAAAGACCACAGCUUAACUGUGGAAGUGCCUUGGAAACUGAUGAGCUUGAGUGGAGUAGGGGUUGAGGGAAUUCCCGGUGUAGCGGUGAAAUGCGUAGAUAUCUGGAAGAACACCUAAGGCGAAAGCAGGCAACUGGGCCUUAUCUGACGCUGAGGUACGAAAGCUUGGGGAGCGAAUAGG